rnacentral:misc_RNA from 1 species
GAAAUGCGAUACUUGGUGUGAAUUGCAGAAUCCCGUGAACCAUCGAGUCUUUGAACGCAAGUUGCGCCCGAAGCCAUUCGGCCGAGGGCACGCCUGCCUGGGCGUCACGCAUCGCGUCGCCCCCCACCCGAUCCCUUGGGAUUGGUUUGCGGGGCGGAAAAUGGUCUCCCGUGUGCCUCGUGCACGUGGCUGGCCCAAAUACGAUCCGGCAUCGACGGAUGUCACGACCAGUGGUGGUUGAAACUAUCUUGCUGUCGUGCUCACCCCGUCGCUUGCUCGGCAUCAAUUGCAUCCAACGGCGCUAACGCGCCUCCGACCGCGACCCCAGGUCAGGCGGGACUACCCGCUGAGUUUAA